rnacentral:misc_RNA from 1 species
GUUCCGUAGGUGAACCUGCGGAAGGAUCAUUACAGUAGUCACCCAGGUUGCCGCAAGGCCUCCUGGGUAACCUACCACCCUUUGUUUAUUACACUUUGUUGCUUUGGCAAGCCUGCCCUCGGGCUGCUGGCUCCGGCCGGCGAGCGCUUGCCAGAGGACCUAAACUUUGUUUGUCUAUACUGUCUGAGUACUAUAUAAUAGUUAAAACUUUCAACAACGGAUCUCUUGGUUCUG